rnacentral:rRNA from 1 species
UAGGGAAUCUUCCGCAAUGGGCGAAAGCCUGACGGAGCAACGCCGCGUGAGUGAUGAAGGUCUUCGGAUCGUAAAACUCUGUUAUUAGGGAAGAACAAAUGUGUAAGUAACUAUGCACGUCUUGACGGUACCUAAUCAGAAAGCCACGGCUAACUACGUGCCAGCAGCCGCGGUAAUACGUAGGUGGCAAGCGUUAUCCGGAAUUAUUGGGCGUAAGCGCGCGUAGGCGGUUUUUUAAGUCUGAUGUGAAAGCCCACGGCUCAACCGUGGAGGGUCAUUGGAAACUGGAAAACUUGAGUGCAGAAGAGGAAAGUGGAAUUCCAUGUGUAGCGGUGAAAUGCGCAGAGAUAUGGAGGAACACCAGUGGCGAAGGCGACUUUCUGGUCUGUAACUGACGCUGAUGUGCGAAAGCGUGGGGAUCAAACAGG